rnacentral:rRNA from 1 species
UACGGAGGGGGCUAGCGUUGUUCGGAAUUACUGGGCGUAAAGCGCGCGUAGGCGGCUUUGUAAGUCAGAGGUGAAAUCCUGGAGCUCAACUCCAGAACUGCCUUUGAUACUGGGAGUCUCGAGUCCGGGAGAGGUGAGUGGAACUGCGAGUGUAGAGGUGAAAUUCGUAGAUAUUCGCAAGAACACCAGUGGCGAAGGCGGCUCACUGGCCCGGUACUGACGCUGAGGUGCGAAAGCGUGGGGAGCAAACAGG